AUGUCAGGCCGUUACCCCAGCUGCCGCGUGCCGUGUCCCAACCUCCUGCUCAACAUGCCCCUGUUGCCACCCGUACCUGCCGGCCUUUACAACGACGGCCUCUUUGGACCUUUAAUGUUCCCCCACUUUCACCUGGGUGCGUUGCAUUACCCUCCUCCACCAGAGGCUGCUGCUGAUCGGGGACCGGUCUUCUUCACCCUCCAACCACCCCCGCUCCCAGAGCCCCUGCAGGAGGAGCAGAUGCACCCACAGCCUCCUCUUUUCACUAAAGAUACUUAACUAAUUAUCUCCUUCAUUAAUGAUGCUGUUUGCAAUCUGUUGUUUUGUAUUUAGAUUGAUUUAUUAUUCUUUUUGCGCAAUCAGCUUUCAAUUAGCAAAAUAUUUUUGUUUAGUUCACAUUUUUUAUACCAUUGAUACCAGAAUGUACUGUUUGUUUAUAAAGAAAAAUAAAAGUUUGUUGGGUUUAUCUUUUCAUAUCUUUCCCUUUUUGCUUUUAUUUCAACAUAUUAAUGAUGCUAUUAGGCAUUUAUUCAGUUUUUCACAAUAAAAUUACACUAGCUUGUUCCAAUCUUUAAUGUAAUUUUGUUUUUAUUUUAGUUUCAUAAUUUCUUGGGGGAUUUUUCCAUUGGCAAUUCAAAUAUUUUUGAUUAUUCAACAACUGAACUAAUAUUUCAUAUCUAAUCUUAUUAGUAGUAGCUAAUAACUCUUUUAAGGAACAUUAUUAGGCAGUCUCAUUGCUCUAGUGAUUGCUAACACUAAAAUGACAUUUAAAAUAUUUCACAUAUUAAACUUAAAACUAUAACAAACCUCUAUAAACUCUUUUAUAGUUGGCCUUGGUGUUUGAUGGUGGUAAACGAACAUCAGUGGAACUCAAAAAGACUCUCACCUCGCAGGUUGAUGGACAACAAAAGUAGUUUUACAGGUGCAGCAGAGGUAAUAACCAACCUGACCCCCCCCCCCCCUCUGCCAUCCAUACCUGUGGUCUCUACCAACUCUACAGAGUGUAACAUCUUUAAAACACAUAUCUACAAUUAAAUCUUACAACUAUUUACAUUAUACACAAUACACACGUCUAGUGAGUAAUAUAGAUUAAGCUAAAUGUAUAAUACACUGAAUAAAUACCAAAACGAAAGUCAAACUCCUCCACCCACUCCCCUCUCUUCACCUCACUACUUGGUUCAGCCCAACCAGGUGACAUCAGCUGAGACCUCAAAGAGACAGAGGUUAGUAGGGAUUUCAAAAUAAAAGCAUAACACAAAAAUGAACUUCCUGUAUUAGUUUUGUGCAUCUUAACACAGUCAAUGUGUGUGCGUGUGUGUUUCUCUUUCAGCCUUAGUCUCCAUCCCUUUGAGAUACUAUUGAUUAAUUGAUUAUGAUAAGUUUAUCUUGCAAGAGUAAAAUAAGAUGAUUUCAGUUAUAAUAUUUAUAUUUAAUAAACUAACUUCUGAAAGUAAAAACUCACUUCUGGCACUGCCUUUUCAUAAUCCCACUGUUUUUAUAUAUCUCUAUCCCUUUUG
rnacentral:lncRNA from 15 species